rnacentral:rRNA from 1 species
GGAUUCCCCUAGUAACUGCGAGUGAAGCGGGAUGAGCUCAAAUUUAAAAUCUGGCGUCUUCGGCGUCCGAGUUGUAAUUUAGAGAAGCGUUUUCCGCGCCGGACCGUGUACAAGUCUCCUGGAACGGAGCGUCAUAGAGGGUGAGAAUCCCGUCUUUGACACGGACCCCCGGUGCUCUGUGAUACGCUCUCGAAGAGUCGAGUUGUUUGGGAAUGCAGCUCAAAAUGGGUGGUGAACUCCAUCUAAAGCUAAAUAUUGGCGAGAGACCGAUAGCGAACAAGUACCGUGAGGGAAAGAUGAAAAGCACUUUGGAAAGAGAGUGAAACAGUACGUGAAAUUGUUGAAAGGGAAACGCUUGAAGUCAGUCGCGUCCGCCGGGAUUCAGCCUUCGGGUGUACUUUCCGGUGGACGGGCCAGCAUCACUUUCAAUCAUCGGACAAGGUCGAGAGGAAUGUGGCACCUUCGGGUGUGUUAUAGCCUCUUGUCGUAUACGGUGACUGGGAGUGAGGACCGCCUUUGUAGGAUGCUGGCGUAAUGGCUUUAAACGACCCGUCUUGAAACACGGACCAAGGAGUCUAACAUGCCCGCGAGUGUUUGGGUGGAAAACCCAUGCGCGUAAUGAAAGUGAAAGUUGGGAAGGCUGUCGCGGCCUGCACCGACGCCCGGACUCGAGAUUUAUCUAAGGUUCUGCGGUAGAGCGUGUAUGUUGGGACCCGAAAGAUGGUGAACUAUGCCUGAAUAGGGUGAAGCCAGAGGAAACUCUGGUGGAGGNNNNNNNNAUUCUGACGUGCAAAUCGAUCGUCAAAUUUGGGUAUAGGGGCGAAAGACUAAU